UACAGAGGUCUCAAGCGUUGUUCGGAUUCAUUGGGCGUAAAGGGUGCGUAGGUGGCGUGCUAAGUCAGGUGUGAAAUUUCGGAGCUUAACUCCGAAACUGCAUUUGAUACUGGCGUGCUUGAGGACUGGAGAGGAGACUGGAAUUCAUGGUGUAGCAGUGAAAUGCGUAGAGAUCAUGAGGAAGACCAGUGGCGAAGGCGGGUCUCUGGACAGUUCCUGACACUGAGGCACGAAGGCCAGGGGAGCAAACGGG
rnacentral:rRNA from 1 species